UGAAGAUAGGUGACUCAAGGACAUCUGUGUU
rnacentral:piRNA from 1 species